AUCUGAUCCUGAAUCAGAAGACAAAGACUGCACCUCAAAUGCCAAGGACACUUCAUCCUGCAAGAUGAAUCAUCUUCAUUUAUAUCUAUUCUGUAUGUUUUGUGAGUGUAUGUUUUGCAGUGAGGGAAUUAUUACAUUAUAUUAGUGUUUAAGCAAAGUGUGCUGCACACGUUCUGAAAAGUGAAGCCAAAACAUGAAAGUUUAACCUCUCUUUCCUAAUGUUAGGAUCAGAAGGAAGGCAAUGCAAAGACUGUGUUUUUCUACUGCUAAUGAGGCAGUAAUGUUGAAGUAGGCAUUGAUCUUCUUCUGCAGAGGCAGUCUUUUGGCACACUAUGACAUCAUAAUUUGACAUUGUUUUAGCAGCUUGGCUUCAAUAUGAGCAGUUUUUAGACUUAUGUGAAAGUUUUACGUUCUCACACGUAAAGGAUGUUUUUAUAGUACAAUAACCUCUUAUAUAUCAAAAGAUCAAGGAAAAUUUGGUUGCUCUAAUUCAUGAUCCCUUUAAAGACCACAAAAAAACUAACUUACAUCGACUACUGGUUGACCUACUGCUGUUGUAACAUCCAAGUGAUGCUGUAGCUGGUGAUUCAGCUCUGGAUGCGCACUUGAUCUGUCUCCCCUCCUCUCUUCCUCAUCGCUACAUGUGCCACAGCCUCACGUGCACUCAGCCACAGACGAGUGGGUCUGCUGCCUCAAUGAAACACGUUUUGAGUUGCUAAAAAUAUCCCUCACACAGGAGGAAGGGAGAAAUAGAAACCAGAGGGAUAUUUUUACUCUCUUUGACUGACUAUGAAUCGUGACUUCUUUGGCCCACUGGUUCUUUGAGCUUUUCAUUAUUUAUCUAUUUGUUUGUAUCUCACAUCAGGUUUAUUCACAGGAAAUUGUACCAUAAGGGGCGGGUGAGGAGAUUUGCAUGCUAAAUAGUGGCAUAGGCACCUACAUUCUACCUCUUCCUCUGCACGCUUUCUCAGAAAAUCCCACAGGCUUCACCUUUGGUCAAUUGAAGAGAGUUUCUCAGCUGAGUCACAUUUAGGUUCUCCGGCUUGUCAAGGAUGAGUCAGGUGCUAAAACUUCAGCCCAGAGCAAAACCGGAUGAGAACAUGCACAACUCCUUUGUGAGGUUUUGUGGAACUUCUUAAACUACUUUCCCAAAUAUAGGGUGAAUACAGGUGUAGUAGGACAUUAAGAACCAUCCUGUUUUGUUACAUGUAUAUCCACAUAAAGGGUCAGUUCACC
ensembl:lncRNA